CUGUUCAAGAGGCUCUCCUUCUGAAUGAAACUGAAUUGCGUGGCCGCCAAUUGAAGGUGACUGCUAAAAGGACCAAUAUACCAGGGAUGAAGCAGUUCCGUCCUCGUCGACCCAACCCUUACAUGGGGCUUCCACCCAGGGCCUCACAUAUGCCUCCUUAUUUCUACUCUCCUUAUGGAUAUGGGAAGGUUCCAAGAUACAGAAUGCCUAUGCGUUACAGCCCCUAUGGCUGAAUCCAGAUAGACAGAUCCAGCAAAAUUAUUAGUUUCUCUUUUGUUAUCAUGGAUCAUAAUGUUUUGGGUAAAUCAAUGAGCAAAGGCGAAGUUUUGCCCCUUGUAUUAGUGUGGUGGCAUGUGUGAGAAUUAAGCAGACAAAACAACUUAUGAUUUCGACAGACAAUGCUUUCUAUAACAUAUUCUUGCUGGAUCUGUCUAUCUGGAUNAAGUUUGAAAGUUUCCUUCACUGCUGUAUGUUGAUUAUUGUAUCAAGGCAUAGGCGCCCGU
rnacentral:misc_RNA from 1 species